rnacentral:lncRNA from 1 species
GCUAAGGAAAACUCAAGAUGGCUCAAGAACAUAUACAAAUUUUUCUGCUUUUGUCUGUUCUAUCUACCUAAGAUUGGGUUGGCUUCUUAGUCGACUAAAUUUAUGACUUGAUCGGCUAAUUGAUUUUUUGGGUUCGCUCAGAGAACUUAUAAUUUUUACUACUUUUUGUCUUCUACUGCCUCUGAGAUUGAGUCGACUAUCCCAUUCAUGUGAGUUGGCUAGUUCCUAUGCUGAUCAGCUAACUUAUUUUCAUGGUCGGCUG